UACGUAGGGAGCAAGCGUUGUCCGGAAUCAUUGGGCGUAAAGCGCGCGUAGGCGGCCCUGUAAGUCCGUUGUGAAAGUCAAAGGCUCAACCUUUGAAGCCGGUGGAUACUGUGAAGCUAGAGUACGGAAGAGGCGAGUGGAAUUCCUGGUGUAGCGGUGGAAUGCGCAGAUAUCUGGAGGAACACCGGUGGCGAAGGCGGCAUCCUGGACCGACACUGACGCUGAGGAGCGAAAGCCAGGGGAGCAAAGCGGG
rnacentral:rRNA from 1 species